UACGUAGGGGGCGAGCGUUGUCCGGAUUUACUGGGCGUAAAGGGUGAGUAGGCGGUUGUAUAUGUCAGGUGUAAAAGGCUAUGGCUUAACCAUGGUUAGCACUUGAAACUGUACAACUUGAGUGCAGGAGAGGUAAGUGGAAUUCCUAGUGUAGCGGUGAAAUGCGUAGAUAUUAGGAGGAACACCAGUGGCGAAGGCGACUUACUGGACUGUAACUGACGCUGAGUCACGAAAGCGUGGGUAGCAAACAGG
rnacentral:rRNA from 1 species